AGUGAACGCUGGCGGUAGGCCUAACACAUGCAAGUCGAACGGCAGCACAGUAAGAGCUUGCUCUUACGGGUGGCGAGUGGCGGACGGGUGAGGAAUACAUCGGACUCUACUUUUUCGUGGGGGAUAACGUAGGGAAACUUACGCAAAUACCGCAUACGACCUACGGGUGAAAGCAGGGGAUCUUCGGACCUUGCGCGAUUGAAUGAGCCGAUGUCGGAUUAGCUAGUUGGCGGGGUAAAGGCCUACCAAGGCGACGAUCCGUAGCUGGUCUGAGAGGAUGAUAACCCACACUAGAGCUGAGACACGGUCCAGACGCCUACGGGAGGCAGCAGUGGGGAAUAUUGGACAAUGGGCGCGAGCCUGAUCCAGCCAUACCGCGUGGGUGACGAAGGCGUUCGGGUUGUAAAGACCUUUUGUUGGGAAAGAAAAGCAGCAGGUUAAUACCCCGCGGUUCUGACGGUACCCAAAGAAUAAGCACCGGCUAACUUCGUG
rnacentral:rRNA from 1 species